rnacentral:rRNA from 1 species
UUAAAAAGAGGUGGAAGGUGGGGACGAUGUCAAAUCAUCACCCCCCUUAUGACCUGGGCCACACAUGUGUUCCAAUGGACGGUACAAAGAGCAACAAGGCCGCGAGGCGGAGUUAAUGUCAUAAAACCGUUCUCAGUUCGGAUUGUAGGGUGCAACUCGCCUACAUGAAGCUGGAAUCGGUCGUAAUCGCGGAUCAGCAUGCCGCGGCAAUACGUUCCCGGGCCUUGUACACCCCGCCCGUCACACCACGAGAGUUUGUAACACCCGAAGUCGGUGGGGUAACCUUUUGGAGCCAGCCGCCUAAGGUGGGACAGAUGAUUGGGGGAAGUCGAAGCUGG